AUUGAACGCUGGCGGCAGGCUUAACACAUGCAAGUCGGGCGGAGAUGAGGUGCUUGCACCUUAUCUUAGCGGCGGACGGGUGAGUAAUGCUUAGGAAUCUGCCUAUUAGUGGGGGACAACAUUCCGAAAGGAAUGCUAAUACCGCAUACGUCCUACGGGAGAAAGCAGGGGAUCUUCGGACCUUGCGCUAAUAGAUGAGCCUAAGUCGGAUUAGCUAGUUGGUGGGGUAAAGGCCUACCAAGGCGACGAUCUGUAGCGGGUCUGAGAGGAUGAUCCGCCACACUGGGACUGAGACACGGCCCAGGCUCCUACGGGAGGCAGCAGUGGGGAAUAUUGGACAAUGGGGGGAACCCUGAUCCAGCCAUGCCGCGUGUGUGAAGAAGGCCUUAUGGUUGUAAAGCACUUUAAGCGAGGAGGAGGCUACUGAGACUAAUACUCUUGGAUAGUGGACGUUACUCGCAGAAUAAGCACCGGCUAACUCUGUGCCAGCAGCCGCGGUAA
rnacentral:rRNA from 1 species